GACGAACGCUGGCGGCGUGCUUAACACAUGCAAGUCGAACGGAAAGGCCCUGCUUUUGUGGGGUGCUCGAGUGCCGAACGGGUGAGUAACACGUGUGUAACCUGCCCUUGACUUUGGGAUAACUUCAGGAAACUGGGGCUAAUACCGGAUAGGAUCUCCUGCUGCAUGGUGGGGGUUGGAAAGUUUCGGCUGUUGGGGAUGGACUCGCGGCUUAUCAGCUUGUUGGUGGGGUAGUGGCUUACCAAGGCUUUGAAGGGUCGCCGGCCUGAGAGGGUGACCGGCCACAAUGGGACUGAGAGACGGCCGAGAGUCCUACGGGGGGCAGCAGGGGGGAAUAUUGCACAAUGGGCGGGAGCGUGAUGAAGCGACGCCGCGUGUGGAAUGACGUCCUUCGGGUUGAAAAACGCUUGAGCCUGUGACGAAGCGUGAGUGACGGUAAUGGGUAAAGAAGCACCGGCUAACUACGUG
rnacentral:rRNA from 1 species